rnacentral:ncRNA from 1 species
GGGAUGAACCGGAAGCCGGGUUACGGUGCCCAACUGCGCGCUAACCUAGAACCCACAAAGGGUGUUGGUCGAUUAAGACAGCAGGACGGUGGUCAUGGAAGUCGAAAUCCGCUAAGGAGUGUGUAACAACUCACCAGCCGAAUCAACUAGCCCCGAAAANGGAUGGCGCUGAAGCGCGCGACCCACACCCGGCCAUCUGGGCGAGCGCCAUGCCCCGAUGAGUAGGAGGGCGCGGC